rnacentral:snoRNA from 1 species
UGCAUUUGCUUGACAAACCUGGAGUAUUUACUAUCUGCUUCUAAGGUUUCCAUUACCAAUGUAAGAAAAAGUCCUCACGCUUUCUGCCUGCCUGUUUGUGGCAGCCAAGAUUGAAUAGAGGAAUACAGCA